AGUGAACGCUGGCGGUAGGCCUAACACAUGCAAGUCGAACGGCAGCACAGUAAGAGCUUGCUCUUACGGGUGGCGAGUGGCGGACGGGUGAGGAAUACAUCGGAAUCUACUUUUUCGUGGGGGAUAACGUAGGGACACUUACGCUAAUACCGCAUACGACCUACGGGUGAAAGCAGGGGAUCUUCGGACCUUUCGCGAUUGAAUGAGCCGAUGUCGGAUUAGCUAGUUGGCGGGGUAAAGGCCCACCAAGGCGACGAUCCGUAGCUGGUCUGAGAGGAUGAUCAGCCACACUGGAACUGAGACACGGUCCAGACUCCUACGGGAGGCAGCAGUGGGGAAUAUUGGACAAUGGGCGCAAGCCUGAUCCAGCCAUACCGCGUGGGUGAAGAAGGCCUUCGGGUUGUAAAGCCCUGUUGUUGGGAAAGAAAAGCAGCAGGUUAAUACCCCGCUGUUCUGACGGUACCCAAAGAAUAAGCACCGGCUAACUUCGUG
rnacentral:rRNA from 1 species